rnacentral:rRNA from 1 species
CCUACGGGUGGCAGCAGUGGGGGAUAUUGCACAAUGGGGGGAACCCUGAUGCAGCGACGCCGCGUGGGUGAAGGAGCGUUUCGGCGCGUAAAGCCCUAUCGGCAGGGAAGAAGGAGGACGGUACCCACAGAGGAAGCACCGGCUAACUCCGUGCCAGCAGCCGCGGUAAUACGGGGGGUGCAAGCGUUGUCCGGAAUCAUUGGGCGUAAAGAGUUCGUAGGUGGCACGUUAAGUCUGGUGUUAAAGGCGGAAGCUCAACUUCCGUAGGGCACUGGAUACUGGCGAGCUUGAAUGCGGUAGAGGUAAAGGGAAUUCCUGGUGUAGCGGUGAAAUGCGUAGAUAUCACGAAGAACUCCGAUUGCGAAGGCAGCUUACUAAACUGCCACUGACAUUGAUGCUCGAAAGUGUGGGUAUCAAACAGGAUUAGAUACCCCAGUAGUC